CCUACGGGAGGCAGCAGUGAGGAAUAUUGGUCAAUGGCCGAGAGGCUGAACCAGCCAAGUCGCGUGAGGGAAGACGGCCCUACGGGUUGUAAACCUCUUUUGUCGGGGAGCAAAAGACGCCACGCGUGGCGUUCCGCGAGUACCCGAAGAAAAAGCAUCGGCUAACUCCGGGCCAGCAGCCGCGGUAAUACGGAGGAUGCGAGCGUUAUCCGGAUUUAUUGGGUUUAAAGGGUGCGCAGGCGGAAGAUCAAGUCAGCGGUAAAAUUGAGAGGCUCAACCUCUUCGAGCCGUUGAAACUGGUUUUCUUGAGUGAGUGAGAAGUAUGCGGAAUGCGUGGUGUAGCGGUGAAAUGCAUAGAUAUCACGCAGAACUCCGAUUGCGAAGGCAGCAUACCGGCGCUCAACUGACGCUCAUGCACGAAAGUGUGGGUAUCGAACAGGAUUAGAUACCCGGGUAGUC
rnacentral:rRNA from 1 species